AUACGGAGGGUGCAAGCGUUAAUCGGAAUUACUGGGCGUAAAGCGCGCGUAGGCGGAUUGUUAAGUCUCAUGUGAAAGCCCUGGGCUCAACCUGGGAACUGCAUGGGAUACUGGCAAUCUAGAAUACAGUAGAGGGUAGUGGAAUUUCAGGUGUAGCGGUGAAAUGCGUAGAGAUCUGAAGGAACAUCAGUGGCGAAGGCGACUACCUGGACUGAUAUUGACGCUGAGGUGCGAAAGCGUGGGGAGCAAACGGGAUUAGAAACCCCGGUAGUCC
rnacentral:rRNA from 1 species